rnacentral:rRNA from 1 species
UACAGAGGGUGCGAGCGUUAAUCGGAAUUACUGGGCGUAAAGCGUGCGUAGACGGUAGCGUAAGUCAGAUGUGAAAGCCCCGGGCUCAACCUGGGAACUGCAUUUGAGACUGCUCUGCUCGGGUGCGGAAGAGGGAAGCGGAAUUUCCGGUGUAGCGGUGAAAUGCGUAGAUAUCGGAAGGAACACCAGUGGCGAAAGCGGCUUCCUGGUCCGACACCGACGUUCAGGCACGAAAGCGAGGGGAGCAAACAGG